CAUUAAAAAGGGCGAGUUUGACGAGUCAAGAGCGCUGACUCAACUCGGAAGAAAGACAGGGAGGGACGUAUUCUACUGGUUACUCCGUCUAUAACAUCGACAUCGCGAGGAUCAAUAGUGUUCGGCGGCGGAUGGCGAGAACGUUUUUGUACUUGAUUCUCUGCGGUGAGUGUCGGCGUCGGCGUCGGCGUCGGUUAAUUUGUGAGAAAACUGAAGAAACAGGUUGUACCCUAUGAAAGGCCUGCAUUAAGCAAAGGAUAUUUACUUCCUCAAGCUCAAGCACGCGUUCCUUCAUUUCACUGGUGUGUGGGUACCAAACUACCAAUGGCUAAAGGCUGACUCCACGAGGGUACAAGGAACAUGGUAAAUCCAUGUUAGCAUACUGGUUAUUGUGGAGCAACUUGGGUCUUGAUUGCGGCCAAGAACCUGGUAGCUUGUGUGCUCAUUAUUAUAUAAGAAGUUGAGUUUGAGACCCUUCCUGAGGAAUUCAAUCCGUUUGUUUGCUUUUGAUUUAGUUUGGAGAUUCGUAAACAUGUGAUGUGGAGUAUACGAUUGUUGGAUUCAGUACUAUUUACUCAUCAACUGUACUUCUUCAGGUAUUGAGUUGAUUCUUGGAACUAGACUUCAGUUUUGUUGAUUUGAUUAUGUGAAGUGGAAGAUAUUGCUAACUGCAAAAAGGAGAAACCAUAAGAUAAUAUAUCAUAGUUCAUUUCAUGUAAUGUACUAAUGUGUUCAUUUUGCCUUUGGUUGUUCAAGAACUCGCGAGAAUGUAUUGUCGAAAAAUUGGAGUUCAGUUACUCUUAAAUUAUGGUCAUACAUUCAAGUUGUAAACCCAAUUUCGAUUUGUAUGACCUUGUGUGAAACACCUUUUACAGAUCAUGAAGGAACCAUUGCUUUAA